AGGAGCCGUGUGAGAUGAAAGUCCCUCAUGCACGGUUUUGAAUGAGAGAAAGAAGUGAGGAAUCCUCUUUUCGACUCUAAC
rnacentral:ncRNA from 1 species